UACGGAGGGGGCUAGCGUUGUUCGGAAUUACUGGGCGUAAAGGGCGCGGAGGCGGCGUCGUAAGUCAGGCGUGAAAGGCCCGGGCUCAACCCGGGAACUGCGCUUGAUACUGCGGCGCUCGAGUCCGGGAGAGGAUGGCGGAAUUCCCAGUGUAGAGGUGAAAUUCGUAGAUAUUGGGAAGAACACCGGUGGCGAAGGAGGCCAUCGGGACCGGUACUGACGAUAAUGCGCGAAAGCGUGGGGAGCAAACAGG
rnacentral:rRNA from 1 species